AAGGCUUUAUUUUAAUAAAAGAGUUUGAGUUGCAUUCAGAAGAUGUAGGYUAGUGUCCUGCAAGCUUUA
rnacentral:tRNA from 1 species